ACCUUAUUCCUCCCACGCCCUAGCCCCCGAUCGACCAACCAACCGCAGCGCCCCCAGGCCGGCCAACUACCACCGCCGGUGCUCUGCCCAACCGCCCCACCUUCGCCGGCGCGGCCCUCCCCCUCAACUCCGGCCUCGCGCCACCCAGGGACUCCCCGGCCGCCCUCACUUGCUACUGCGACGUCGGAUCCAGCCACCACAGUAGUCCCACCCGGCGGCACUCCGCACCUCCUUCGCCGUCGCGCCGUGCCACCCGCCGCCCCAACCGCCACCUCUCUUGCGUAGCUGCGCCACCACCUCCCCCCGUGCCACCAGCCUCCCCCGCGGUCGCCACCACACCCCUCCCCCACACGCCUCCGGCCCCGCCGCGCCGCCCAAUCCACAGAUCCGAGCGCUGCUGGUCCCCAACGUCGUCCGGCGACUGCCCUGCUGCUGGAUCGGUCUCCCUUUGCAUCCCCUGCUAGCCCACGGCGGCCUCCCCCGCCGCGGCAACCCACCCUUGCCGCCUCCUCCCAUGGAGGUCGCCCCGGCGUCGUCGAUGAGCAGGGCUGACGGCGACCUCCCUCGAUCUCGUCUCCCAUUGUUGUCGCCGCAACGAAUCUGUCGCUGUGGGCGCCGGCAACGGCAGCAGAAAAAGUGAGCUCCUUCUGCCCCCUCACCCAUCCUCCUCUGCUACGGAUGAAAAAUCGGUAGCCGUCGCGCAGGAUGACGAUGACUUUGACUCCUCCUGCUCUAUCUGCAUCUCCUGCGGGAUCCCUCUGCCAACAUCCCCAUCACCAUCUCCCGUCGAGGUCCCAGCCUCCCCGGGCAUGCAGUGCGGACGGGGAUGCCGUGUAGUUCACCGGCAACCAACAGCCUCCUCGACCACUCCUCUGCUCCCCUGUGCGGUUCGCUUGGCACGGCAGCGCGGUUUCUUCACUCUGCAUUUGGUUCCGGUCGCGCUCUGUGUGCAGUUUGGUGCGUGCGCACUUGCAGUUCGCCCCGGCACGAUAGGAGCUACACCGGCAAGGGCGCGCCUGCAUCAAGGCAUUUGUGCUCGUGAAGUUUCAGGUAGUGUACCAUGUCCUGCUGCGAGUCACCGUAGUCCGCUGCAUGACCCCGUGCAGUGCGCGGGUGCACAGGAAGCGUCCCGUAAUCAAAAAUAGAAAAACUAUUAAUGAAGGAUGUUUUUGACUUCAUUAUUUAAUACAGAAGAAGACUAACAAACGAAAAAAGAAGGAAAGAAGUGCACUGCAGCCCCUUAGUGCUUCAGCUUGUAGAAAAAGAGAAGAAAUCCCCAUGGAUAGUUUACUUUCUUUCUCGAAUUCAAUUUUUUUGUAUGUGGGAUGAUUGGAAAAAGUAGUUCACUCCAAUUUGUGUAGCAGCUCAUUACACCUAUGUAUGAAGUGCAAUUUAUUUGUGUGUCUCAAAAAUCAGUCGACUACAUCGACACGUGCAGUA